rnacentral:rRNA from 1 species
UACGUAGGGGGGCGAGCGUUGUCCGGAUUUAUUGGGCGUAAAGAGCUCGUAGGCGGCUUAGCAAGUCGGGUGUGAAAACUCCAGGCUCAACCUGGAGACGCCACUCGAGACUGCUAUGGCUAGAGUCCGGUAGGGGACCACGGAAUUCCUGGUGUAGCGGUGAAAUGCGCAGAUAUCAGGAGGAACACCGGUGGCGAAGGCGGUGGUCUGGGCCGGCACUGACGCUGAGGAGCGAAAGCGUGGGGAGCAAACAGG